GAUCGGCUCUCAUGAGUUUGUACAAGCUAGCACCACUGGCCUUAUGCCUUCCAGCUCAGAUCAGUGAUUUUCUAAUGCCAGUGGGGGUGGGAGCAGGGGAGACAUGCCAAUCUGCCAUGCUUUUAAAAUACAGGAUGCAGGGGUUGUGGCCGAGUGGUUAAAGUUCCACGUGCUCCUCUUCAGUGGCCUGGGGUUUGUGGGUUCAGAUCCCAGAUGCGGACCAGCUCCACUCAUCACCCACAUACAAAGUAGAGGAAGACUGGCAACGGAUGUUAACGCAGGGCUAAUCUUCCUCAAGCAAAAAAAGAGGCGGGUUGGCAAUGGCCAUUAGCUCAGGGCAAAUCUUCCUCACAGAAAAAAUGAUAAUAAAUAAACUCUUUUUAAAAAAUAAUAAAAGUAAAAAGUAAAAUACAGAAUCCAGGAUCCCACCCCUGGCGAUAAAUCUGAGGUGAGACUUGGAACUACAAUUCAAAACAAAACCAUGCCUCCCCAGGUGAUCAUGAUGUGUGACCAGAUGUGGGAACCAUUCCUCUGGCAAGAGUGCUUAUAGCCCAAGCCAGCUCACCAGGAUCCACCAGGUCAGGGUUGGAGGCAGGAGUCCCACUAACAAUAAUUCUUCACCUGGCCUCGUUCUCUGCUCUUAUGUUGUGUCUCUCGGGAACCUCAUGGGGUAGAGGGUAGAAUGGGGGCUGAGGCAAAAGGGUUCCUGUGUUUGAGAUCUUGGGACCAGCUUCUUUUUCUACCGCUGUUAGCAUGGGCUGUCUUGGGUAGUGUCACUACUAUCCUAUGGAAGUAGAAACCAAGCCAGUCUCUCGGUUCCUAACCAGAAAUUAGACUCGUAGAAACCACUGAAAAAGCAGAACUGGAUAUGAAAGGCUGUGGGCUGCUUAGUUGGAAGCAUGAGCUCUUUUCUGGGGUUGGCUCCUGACUCAUGGGGAAGUUUUUGGUCUCAGUGGCCCACAUUUUCAGAUGUCUUUGUCUAGAAAAGCUUAACAGCAAAGCGUGCUGGGUUCUUGUGUUCGUGUGGAGCUUGCUCAACAAAUGAAAAAGAAUGGGACCUCCAUCAUGUUUUGAAAUUAAUUCACGAAAACCUGCAAUUAGAACACAUGCAGUAGGGAAUGAUGUUGUUUUUUUCAAAAGAGCUUUUGCUUUAUCAGAAGAUCCACAGAAAAUACCCUUCAGAUAGUUUUAAGUGGUGCUUACAAAAUCCUCAUUUAUGUACAUGUUUGUAGAAAUACACCUGUCGCAUUAAACAUACUGAACCUGCGUUCGUCAUGCAGUAUCCAGCCCUGUCUCCUUAUGGCUGUAUUAGGAAAUGUGACCCAAUGGGAGGAACCGAGGGCGUUACAGACUAGCAUAGUGGUGUGUCUGGGGACAGCAGCGGCACACAAACCUUUUUAUUCUUUGCUAGGCUGAGACUCACUUGCAGGCAGCGUGACUGAGCCGGCAAUCUUGAAACUGCUUUUGUCCCUGCAAUGCAUCCUGGCCAGUGACAUUAAUGAAAACUGAGGAACCUCAGCUGGAGUGAAAGUUUAAACUUUUCUUUUAAAUUCUUGAAAAAUCCAUCAAGAACAUAUAUAUGAGGGAAAAAAUUAUGGGUUGUGGAGCAGGGAGGCCGGUGUGCAUGAAAUCAGAUAAACCUAAACUUCCAUACGCUCAUAAAAUUCUGUUAUUUAUUAAUUAGCUUUAUCCACAAUUCCUCCUGGAAAAUUUAAAAAGCCAGUGUCCAGAGAAGAAAGUGAAAAGAAUUGUUGAGGGACCAUCAGGAGUCAGGUUGUUUCCCUGAGCAGUUUCGGGUCCUCGGUGAGCCUGUGCUUGGAUGGACCAUGUGUAUGCUUGAUUCCUAUGGAAGACAUAAUUUGCAACAGAAGACUUGGAAUCGUAGUAUCCUGCUUACAAAAUUAUUGAAGAAAAAAGAAGACUUCUAAUUAAUUCCAAAAGCUAAACUACUCUCCAGAUAGGUACCAUUUCAAGCAGUUGACCCAGUGUGAUUCUCAGCCCUGGGGACAUAACAGCCUCACCUGUGUGGAACAUUAACCCCUCCCACCCUCAUCCCUAUCCACCUCCACCACUCCCAGUCCCAGAGUUUCUAGUAUGCCUUGAGUGGGGGCCUUGGGAUGGAUGGAUGGAUAGAUGGAUAGAUAGACAGACAGACAGAUAGAUAGACUUCUUUUUAACACAGGUGAGUUUGAGGCUCAACCAUGGUUGAGAACCACUGAGUUAAACAAUGUGAUCUUUUAAAGGCAAUUUCCUUUAAUGACAAAUAAUAGAUAAACCUAAGGAUAGGAAGAGAUGGAGAUGCUCAAAGAAAUAAAGUCAAUUAAUGUCAUGGUCGUGAGGAGCUUGCUUCAUGGUUAUAACCAACUGCUCCCUUAUCUCAUGGGCUAAUUUGACUUCACAUAAAGGUGAGUGCUAUAAAACUCUCUAAAAGUCCAUCAUUCUUUUGAAAUCAGAAGCAUGGGAACAAGUUAC
ensembl:lncRNA